rnacentral:lncRNA from 1 species
UGCACCAUUCCACCUCUCUUUCCUUUCUCUACCAUGUGCACAAUCAUUCAUGUUCCCCACUUGCAUUCAUAGCUGCAAAACCACUCCAUUUUAACCCUCAUGCUUUGCAUCAUCACUUCACUUUCACCUUUGAAUCAUUUCAACACCACUCCAUGCACUCAUUACUGCAACACCACUCUAUUUUACCCCCCAUGCUUUGCAUCA